CACUGAAGUCGAACAUAUGUAAAAAGCUGAAGCUCUGAGCUUUACAAGUGAACGCAAGAAAAAACGAAAAACACUGUGCAACAACUAAAAUUCUCUACAUCAAAAUGCUUGUGUAGCUAUAGCUAUUGGAGGGUGCACAGCGAAAUGGGCGCUUCACAAUUAUAUUUGUGUACAUACUUAUAGUACGAAUACUCACCACCAGAAGAAGAGGCAGGCAGAAGCAGCAACAAAAGGAACACCAUUCCAACGCCCCUGCCAAGGCCAUCGCCCGAGUCCGAGUCAACGUCUGAUAGCUGCGCACGACCAUUCGGUUGCUCGUAAACCAUUAACAAAAGAGUGAGGGUGGCAAAUAAAAAGCAAUGGCGGGGGUGCGGAACAGAAAGAGGGACUGAGCCGUCAUGUUGAUGCCCAUACAGGCAUGACUACUUUAGGAAUCUGAAUACUAUUUUUAAAAUAUCGACCCACAGUCAUUUACAUAUGCACACGCAUUUAUGAAUAAAGAAAAAUGCAUUUUCUGCCCAUAGUCCACUGACUAUUCCUUUUACCUAUU
rnacentral:sRNA from 1 species